UACGUAGGGGGCAAGCGUUGUCCGGAUUUAUUGGGCGUAAAGAGCGUGUAGGCGGCCAGGUAGGUCAGCUGUGAAAACUCGAGGCUCAACCUCGAGCUGUCGGCUGAAACCAUCUGGCUAGAGUCCGGAAGAGGAGAAUGGAAUUCCCGGUGUAGCGGUGAAAUGCGCAGAUAUCGGGAAGAACACCCGUGGCGAAGGCGGUUCUCUGGGACGGUACUGACGCUGAGGCGCGAAAGCCAGGGGAGCAAACGGG
rnacentral:rRNA from 1 species